UAUUAAACAGGAGAAAAAAAAUUAAAAAGAAUAAGAAACGCAGGCAAUAAUAACAGCCUCUCAUCAUCAUAGGCUCUCAUCGUCAAUCAUCACAGCCUCUCAUCCGUAAUACAAAGAACACCACUAAUAACAAUAACAACAACUUCAACACCGGCAAAAACCCUUUUCAAGGAUGAUGACAACAAUGAAGAAACAACAAAAGGCUCAGAUCAGUAUAAUCAGGACAAAGGAAAUGUUGGUGAUAUGAUCCAUCGUUCUUCACUCUCCUCUCUCCGACCUAUUUUCCCUCUUAAAUUUUUUCAUUUUUCCGGUGGUGGCAUGUGUGUGGGUCUGUGUGCGUGUUGAUCGUAUUCUGUGUAUGUAGUUUUAUCGGUGAUAUCCGAUUUGUAGCGAUAGAGAUCGUGGUUGCUAUAUCUUCUCCGGUUAAUUACAUAUUUUUAUAAAUAAUAUAAAAAUAAUGUAGAAAUUAAUGUCCUUAUAAACGUGAUAUAAAUAUGGUAUAGAAAUUGGUAGUUCAUAAAGGUUAUAUAUUCUGUAAAUGGUAUAAAAAUAAUGUAGAAAUUGG
rnacentral:lncRNA from 1 species